UCUCAGACACUCAAACAUCGACGACAACGGACCGGUAUAGCUUCGUUGCCCUGGUGAAGAUCUGAGACUGAGAGAUUAUUCUUCUCUCUUGAAUCCAUUGUGACUAUGGAGUCAUCUUUCAAAGAGAUUUUGCUUCCUUAGUUUGAUAUCUUUGGGUUGAAGGCUCCUGUGAAGUUUCCAAAGGAAUGAAGACUUUUUGGUGUGUUUUCAAGUGAAUCAAGUCAAGAAAUUAGUGGCUUAGUUUUUGGUUAUUAUGUUUUGUUUAAGGAUGAAUUGUGUAAUGUAUUGUGUAAUGUGUUUUAUUUAAGGAUGCACUAUAUUUUUGGCAAUUAUGUUUUGUUCAA